rnacentral:rRNA from 1 species
UACGAGGGGGGCAAAUGUUGUUCGGAAUCACUGGGCGUAAAGGGAGCGUAGGCGGGCUUCUAAGUUAGGUGUUUAAUCCCAGGGCCCAACCCUGGUCAGGCACCUAAAACUGGGAGUCUUGAAUAGUGGAGAGGACGAUGGAAUUGGGGGUGCAGCGGUGGAAUGCGUAGAGAUCCCCAAGAACACCAGUUGCGAAGGCGGUCGUCUGGACACAUAUUGACGCUGAGGCUCGAAAGCAUGGGGAGCAAACAGG